GAAAUGCGAUAAGUAAUGUGAAUUGCAGAAUUCAGUGAAUCAUCGAAUCUUUGAACGCACAUUGCGCCCGCCAGUAUUCUGGCGGGCAUGCCUGUUCGAGCGUCAUUACAACCCUCAGGCCCCGGGCCUGGCGUUGGGGAUCGGCGGAAGCCCCCUGCGGGCACAACGCCGUCCCCCAAAUACAGUGGCGGUCCCGCCGCAGCUUCCAUUGCGUAGUAGCUAACACCUCGCAACUGGAGAGCGGCGCGGCCACGCCGUAAAACACCCAACUUCUGAAUGUUGACCUCGAAUCAGGUGGGAAUACCCGCUGAACUUAAGC
rnacentral:misc_RNA from 1 species